AAAUGAAUUGACGGGGGCCCGCACAAGCAGUGGAGCAUGUGGUUUAAUUCGACGCAACGCGAAGAACCUUACCAGGGCUUGACAUCCCCUGACAGCUGUGGAAACACAGAAUCCCGUGCUUGCACGGGCAGGGAGACAGGUGCUGCAUGGUUGUCGUCAGCUCGUGUCGUGAGAUGUUGGGUUAAGUCCCGCAACGAGCGCAACCCCUGUCCCUUGUUGCCAGCGGUACAGCCGGGCACUCAAGGGAGACUGCCGGUGACAAACCGGAGGAAGGUGGGGAUGACGUCAAAUCCUCAUGGCCCUUAUGUCCUGGGCUACACACGUGCUACAAUGGCCGGUACAACGGGCUGCGAUGGGGUGACCCUGAGCGAAUCCCUGAAAGCCGGUCUCAGUUCGGAUUGCAGGCUGCAACUCGCCUGCAUGAAGCCGGAAUUGCUAGUAAUCGCGGAUCAGAAUGCCGCGGUGAAUACGUUCCCGGGCCUUGUACACACCGCCCGU
rnacentral:rRNA from 1 species